UACGUAGGGUGCGAGCGUUAAUCGGAAUUACUGGGCGUAAAGCGCGUGUAGGCGGCCCGGUAAGUCCGCUGUGAAAGUCGGGGGCUCAACCCUCGAAUGCCGGUGGAUACUGUCGGGCUAGAGUGCGGAAGAGGCGAGUGGAAUUCCCGGUGUAGCGGUGAAAUGCGCAGAUAUCGGGAGGAACACCAAUGGCGAAGGCAGCUCGCUGGGACGUUACUGACGCUGAGACGCGAAAGCGUGGGGAGCAAACAGG
rnacentral:rRNA from 1 species